AGGACAAACGCUGGCGGCGUACUUAAGACAUGCAAGUCGAACGGGCGCUUCACCUUCGGGUGGGUGUGCUAGUGGCGGACGGGUGAGUAACGCGUAGGAACCUGUCAUCAAGAGGGGGAUAACGCUGGGAAACCGGCGCUAAUACCGCAUGUGGUCAUGAAAAUGAAGAAAGCAGCAAUGCGCUUGAUGAGGGGCCUGCGUCCGAUUAGCUUGUUGGUGGGGUAAAGGCCUACCAAGGCAUCGAUCGGUAGCUGGUCUGAGAGGAUGGUCAGCCACACUGGGACUGAGACACGGCCCAGACUCCUACGGGAGGCAGCAGUUAGGAAAUUUUCCCAAUGGGCGCAAGCCUGAGGGAGUAACGCCGCGUGGAGGAUGACGGCUUUCGGGUUGUAAACUCCUUUUCUGUGGGAAGAGUAGAAGACGGUACCGCGAGGAAUAAGCCUCGGCUAACUACGCGCCAGCAGCCGC
rnacentral:rRNA from 1 species